AUUCUUUGUAUUUCAAAAAGUAGAAAAUUAUUAAAAUCACUUAGUUCUGGUGUACUAAUGUUUCGUUGGUAUUGUUCUAAUGUCUUUUUAUAUUCAAUAUGAGUUUUUAUAUUUUCUAUAGUAAUAUAGAUUAUAGGAUUGUAACAGCUUAUAUAUUUCAAUAAUAUAUUUCAAUAUAUAUAUAUAUAUAUGAGAUCAAGAUUUGAAAGGAACAAUCUCUUACUUGGAAUUGAUUGCAUUGUGCAAGAAGGAGAAGAGAAAUGCCAAAAACUAGUUUCUGGCCAUUGUCAUAACGCAGCUCAUCACUAUUCGUGGAAAUAAUCCAUAUCAACAUAUAUGCUUAUUUCCAGUCACUUGAAAUUGCAAAUCAACUUUCUUUUCCAAUAGGCAGAUAAACUUUGAGAUAGCAUUUUGGGCCUUCAUCAGAGAGCAUUUCAAGUUUGUUAAUACAUAGUAUAUAUAUAUUUUGGUUCUACAAGAAGAAGAAGAUGAUACUCGAAAUAGAAAAAUAGUGGAUAUAUAUGCACAUCAAUUUAUUAUAAGGUCAAUUUAAUUCAGAAAGCGAAGUGUUGGCUUUUGGGACCUUAUUUUUGUUGCUGCAACAUAUCAUCC
rnacentral:lncRNA from 1 species